AAAAGAACCCCGGGAGGGGAGUGAAAGAGAACCUGAAACCCUGCACUUACAAGCUGUAGGAGCACAUUAUUUGUGUGACUGCGUACUUUUUGUAGAACGGGCCAACGAGUUACGUUGUGUAGCAAGGUUAAGCACUUAAGGUGUGGAGCCGUAGCGAAAGCGAGUCUUAAAUGGGCGUCCAGUUACCCGACGUAGACCCGAAACCAGGCGACCUAUCCAUGAGCAGGUUGAAGCGAAAGUAAAAUUUCGUGGAGGACCGAACCCACGUACGUUGAAAAGUGCGGGGAUGACUUGUGGAUAGCGGUGAAAUUCCAAUCGAGCCUGGAGAUAGCUGGUUCUCCCCGAAAUAGCUUUAGGGCUAGCCUCAAGCUUAGAGAAACGGAGGUAGAGCACUGAAUGUCCUAGGGGGUAUUGCACUUACCGAAGACUAUCAAACUCCGAAUGCCGUAUUCUUUUGCUUGGGAGUCAGACUAUGGGUGAUAAGAUUCAUAGUCAAGAGGGCAACAGCCCAGAUCGUCAGCUAAGGUCCCUAAAUGUAAGUUAAGUGGUAAAGGAUGUGGAAUUGCACAGACAACCAGGAUGUUGGCUUAGAAGCAGCCACUCAUUUAAAGAGUGCGUAAUAGCUCACUGGUCGAGUGAUUCUGCGCCGAAAAUUUCCGGGGCUAAAACUUACUACCGAAGCUACGGCAUCAUUAUGAUGGGUAGGGGAGCUUUCUAUGCGGCUUGAAGCAUGACCGUAAGGACAUGUGGACUGCAUAGAAGUGAGAAUGUUGGCAUGAGUAGCGAGAUGUGGGUGAGAAUCCCACAGGCCGUAAACCCAAGGUUUCCAGGGGAAGGUUCGUCCGCCCUGGGUUAGUCAGGACCUAAGCCGAGGCCGAAAGGCGUAGGUGAUGGACAACAGGUUGAUAUUCCUGUACCACCAAUAACCGUUUGAGAAAUGGGAUGACACAGUAGGAUAAGCUAACCGCACUGUUGGUUAUGUGCGGGCAAGUAUUGAGGCAGUUCCGAUAGGCAAAUCCGUCGGAAUAAUGCUGGGGUACGAUGCGGAGCGAAAUUUAGUAGCGAAGUAGCUGAUUUCACACUGUCGAGAAAAGUCUCUAUCGAGGUUAAAGGUGCCUGUACCGCAAACCGACACAGGUGGGUGAGGAGAGUAUCCUAAGGCCAGCGAGAGAAGUGUUGUUAAGGAACUCGGCAAAAUGACCCCGUAACUUCGGGAGAAGGGGUGCCUUCGAAAGAAGGCCGCAGAGAAUAGGCCCAAGCGACUGUUUACCAAAAACAUAGGUUUCUGCUAAGUCGCAAGACGAUGUAUAGGAGCUGACGCCUGCCCGGUGCUGGAAGGUUAAGGGGAUCUGUUAGAGCAAUCGAAGCAGUGAACUUAAGCCCCAGUAAACGGCGGCCGUAACUAUAACGGUCCUAAGGUAGCGAAAUUCCUUGUCGGGUAAGUUCCGACCCGCACGAAAGGCGUAACGAUUUGGGCACUGUCUCAACAACAGACUCGGUGAAAUUGUAAUACCGGUGAAGAUGCCGGUUACCUGCGACAGGACGGAAAGACCCCAUGGAGCUUUACUGUAGCUUGACAUUGAGUCUCGGUGCUACAUGUACAGGAUAGGUGGGAGACUAUGAAGCAUGGACGUCAGUCUGUGUGGAGUCAUCCUUGGGAUACCACCCUUGUAGUACUGGGAUUCUAACCAGAGGCCAUGAAU
rnacentral:rRNA from 1 species